rnacentral:rRNA from 1 species
UACGUAGGGGGCAAGCGUUGUCCGGAAUGACUGGGCGUAAAGCGCGCGCAGGCGGUCUUUUAAGUCUGAGGUGAAAGGCUGGGGCUCAACCCUGGCAUCGCCUUGGAAACGGGAAGACUUGAGAACUGGAGAGGCAAGGGGAAUUCCACGUGUAGCGGGGAAAUGCGUAGAGAUGUGGAGGAAUACCAGUGGCGAGGGCGCCUUGCUGGACAGCGCCUGACGCUGAGGCGCGAAGGCGUGGGGAGCAAACAGGAUUAGAUACCCUGUUAGUCCACGCGGUAAACGAUGAGUGCUAGGUGCCGGAGGUCACCACCUCCGGUGCCGAAGGAAACCCAAUAAGCACUCCGCCUGGGGAGUACGGUCGCAAGACUGAAACUCAAAGGAAUUGACGGGGGCCCGCACAAGCAGUGGAGCAUGUGGUUUAAUUCGAAGCAACGCGAAGAACCUUACCAGGGCUUGACAUCCCCCUGACGGGCCGAGAGAUCGGUCGUCCCUUCGGGGCAGGGGAGACAGGUGGUGCAUGGUUGUCGUCAGCUCGUGUCGUGAGAUGUUGGGUUAAGUCCCGCAACGAGCGCAACCCUUGAUCAGUGUUACCAGCACGUAGUGGUGGGGACUCACUGAUGACUGCCGGUGACAAACCGGAGGAAGGCGGGGAUGACGUCAAAUCAUCAUGCCCCUUAUGUCCUGGGCCACACACGUGCUACAAUGGGCGGUACAACGGGAAGCAAGAGAGCGAUCUGGAGCGAAACCCUAAAAGCCGUUCGUAGUUCGGAUUGCAGGCUGCAACCCGCCUGCAUGAAGCCGGAAUUGCUAGUAAUCGCGGAUCAGCAUGCCGCGGUGAAUCCGUUCCCGGGCCU